GGGGGUGAUCGGUUUCGACGGUGGUCGUCGAGCCAGGAGAAGCGUGUCGAGAACGCACGGUUAUCUCGUUAACGAUCCGCGCAAACUUAUAGGUGCCGAUUCCAAGCGCACCGACUUCGCCCUCGCCGCCUGAGCGAGCCUCGAAGUCCGUCAGCCUGAGUACGCUCUCGACUCAGUAACUGGCGUCAUCUAGAGAGCCACUGCUUGUGACCUUCGUCAGUGGGGUUGCAGGGACUUUUAGCUGACUGGGCCCGUCCGCUGCUUGUCUGCGUGACAGCGGGGGCCGAGAAAAUCAAUAGCAGACUGCACACGGAGAAGUCCUGGUUCCAUGUCAUCGGACGCGGGUUCGAUUCCCGCCACCUCCACC
rnacentral:tmRNA from 1 species